rnacentral:rRNA from 1 species
GGCGCACGGGUGAGUAACGCGUAAGUAAUCUGCCCUCGGUAUCCGGGAUAACCCACCGAAAGGUGUGCUAAUACGGGAUACGCUGAUUUAUCAGGAAAGGUGGCCUCUUCAUGAAAGCUACCGUACCAGGAGGAGCUUGCGUACCAUUAGCUAGUUGGUAGGGUAAUGGCCUACCAAGGCGACGAUGGUUAGCGGGUCUGAGAGGAUGAUCCGCCACACUGGAACUGAAACACGGACCAG